UUUAUAAAGUUUUCAUCAAACGCGCGUUCUCCAUAAGGGGAAAUCAAAUCCAAAAAAAUUAGAAAACCCCGCCUAGGCGAUUUAGGGUUCAUUCCAUCCUUCUGGUUGUUUCCAUCUCCGCUCUUCAUCUCCCAACUAUGAUUUAUCUAAUCUGAAAAAAAGAGAAAUCCUAUAGCAAAUUCCACCCUCCCCUUCUCUCAAAUUUUCUUCAUAAGUAUGAUAAUCACCAAUUUUGUGCAACCCCUUCUUGGUCGCCUUAUUUCCACACCACUGGAACAAGUGAAGCAAGGUCAUCCAUCAAUAACGCCAAAGCAAACUCCACCCUCCCCUUCUUUCAAUUUCUCUCAGAUUAGGGUUCAUGAAAGCUCUUGAAUGCUCCUAAAAGACUGCAAAGUGAUUUAGGGAAUAUAAGAGACAAAGAAGAUGGUUAUAAACCUCCAACCUGAUGACUGUAUGGAUAUAAAUCAGAUUAUUGUAGUUUCAGUGAAGAUCUUUUCAUCUCAUUCCUUGAUGGCAUCUCAUAAAUUGCUUUUUCACGUGGAGGUCAUCUACUAAGGGUUCUACUAAUUCGAUUCAAACAAAUUGUGCAAAUUACAUGUGCCCAGGCUGACACUGUGGCAAGUAGUUCGGGAGUUAUGUUUGAUAGUGUUUUAAAGACAAGAUGUGAGAUAACUGAAUAUGGAUGGACUAAAGAUCGGGCUCCUGUAGAUACAUUUUUCAUGGGAUUAGCUACAAGAAUUCGUGAACACAAUGAUUAUGAGGAAAAGGUUUGGUUUUUAUGUAUUCUGUCUUCAAAGUUUUAUAAAUUGGUCAUUGGAAUAGCUGUUGUAGGAAACAAACUUUGUGAAUUCCUUGUUAUGAACAACCCAGAAAACAGAAACCAAAGGAAAAUGGCAGACUAAGAAGAAAAUAGAAAACAGGAGAACAAUACAGGAAGAAAAACGACUCUGUUAUGAUACUUCUAAACUCUCUCUUAUUAAAAAAACGGAAACACUACAUGUAUUUAUAGGGAAACAAAGAAAAGAGUCUUAAACCUUACGUACUACUUGUUGAACAAGUAAACAACUAACUAGCUUCCUAAACUAAUUCAAAAUCUAAAAGAUAGAUAGGUAUUUCCCAAAAUACCCCUAGGUAUAAUUUGUCCCAUAUUUCUGGAUUAACCCAACAGCAGCAUUAUGUGUAAUUGUUACCACUUGUGUCUAUUACUUCAGGAUGUUAAAGAUAAGAUGGUUGUUCCUAUGGGUGUCAAAAAAACCCAAACCUGACUAACCCGACCCUAACCGAACCCGAAUAAGACUAAUAGGGUUGGGUUUAUUAGGGUCUGAAUGUUGAAAGCGGGUUAUUCGGGUUAACCCGAUUAACCCAUACCUUAAUAGGUUCGGGUUUCGGGUUGGAUAGAUUUUGUUUAUUUGGGUUCGGGUCAACCCGAUUAACCCGCUCUAGCCCAUCAGCUUUAAAUUAAUUAAACAUUUUCACAUUUAUGUUGUACUACUAGCCUAGUUUGUACCUCAUGAACUCAACUAAUCAAACAAGUUAUUUCUUAUCUGCAUGAUAUGUGUUUAUCGUGAGUCUCAUAGCUAAUUUCAUGCAUAUAUAGUCCUCAAGUAAGUUACUUUUUAAACCUUGUGGUAUGUCUGCUGUUAUUAGCAAAAUGCAAGAAUAUAUACUUAUCGGAAAAAUGAUUUUUUUUAGUUUAUGAAACUUGAUACAGGAACAUAUAUUUAAUAACAAUUUUUUAGUUUUUGAAAUUUGGUCGGCAUUUGAGUAUAUGUGUCUUUGUUUUGCAUAAUAUGAAAUUGAUUUUGAAAUGAUUGAACUUUACAUAAAGUGGCUUCAUAUAUAACAUAAAAUAGAUUUUUCCUUCCAUUAUACAUUUUCAACGCUACAUAAGUAUCUAAUAGACUAAAUGGCACAAUAUUAAACUAUCUUACAUUUAAAAUUCUUAGACAACAUUAUACCCGAUUAACCCGACAAACCCGGCCCUUUUAACAUGACACCCGAUUAACCCGACCCCGACCCAUACCUUAAUAGGGUCGGGUUUAGGGUCAAAAAUUCUUUUUAAAAAACCUGACUAACCCGACCCGAAUAACCCGAAACCCGAUCGGGUUGACCCGAUUAACACCCCUAAUUGUUCCUACCAUACAACUGAAUGUCAUCCACUUGCUUGCAUAGCUAAACGUACAAGUUAAUAAAAUUGAAGUGAUUGACACAAUAUUACCAUUAUUCAUUGAAAAACUAGAGAAGGGUGAUGCUUCAACACCUGGCUUGUUGCCCCUCAGGGUAUUAUUCCUUGAAUUAUUUGUUUAUUUUCAUCAUAAAGAUUAUAUUUUGUUUGAAUUUUUGUUUAUAUUGUUUUUUGUCAGAAGAGGCUAAUACAGAACGUCUUGAGGUAUGCAUUUUCAUUUUCAAUUUCAUUCUCAUUCUCAUUCUCAUCCAAUGGAGGAUCCAUGACCUCACCAUCUGUUUUGUAUCAACAAUGAUAUUUUUUAUGGCAUCAGCUUUCUGUUGAUGAGCAGUUGCAUUUCUUGUUGUGAUUUCUUGCUCCUUUUUAUCCACAUGAGAGAAGAUGGAAGCAAACAAGUACAGAUAGUGGGCUUGUGAUGCGGGCCCUAGUGUGGAGGAUCGGGCCCUUGCGUUCCUAGAGGCCCACGAUCGUGUGACUAAAGGGGCUUCACGAAAAUGGCCAUAACUUUGGCUACGAAUCUCCGUUUUGGGCCUACGACCAGUCAAAUCGAAGCUUGGAGCAAGGAGCACGUCUAGAUAAGUUCCCGAAGGGGACUUACCCAUUUUUGAGUCCAUAAAUCGCUUUCUAAAAGGAGUUAUGAGCAGUUUUUGUUAUUUUUCCUUAAUUUUUGGGUUUUGUUUUUGGGUUUGUAUUUGGCCCAUGGACUUUUAGGGUUUCAUUUUAAUUUCUGCUUCUUAUUUAACUGUUUUUGAUGUAAUUUGGAUGGUCAAUCAUCAAUUUUAUGAACUUUCGAUUUUCUCCCAAA